rnacentral:rRNA from 1 species
AUUGAACGCUGGCGGAAUGCUUUACACAUGCAAGUCGAACGGCAGCACGGGGGCAACCCUGGUGGCGAGUGGCGAACGGGUGAGUAAUACAUCGGAACGUGCCCAGUCGUGGGGGAUAACGUAGCGAAAGUUACGCUAAUACCGCAUACGGUCUACGGAUGAAAGCGGGGGACCGUAAGGACUCGCGCGAUUGGAGCGGCCGAUGUCAGAUUAGGUAGUUGGUGGGGUAAAGGCUCACCAAGCCGACGAUCUGUAGCUGGUCUGAGAGGACGACCAGCCACACUGGGACUGAGACACGGCCCAGACUCCUACGGGAGGCAGCAGUGGGGAAUUUUGGACAAUGGGCGCAAGCCUGAUCCAGCCAUUCCGCGUGCAGGAUGAAGGCCCUCGGGUUGUAAACUGCUUUUGUACGGAACGAAAAGGCUCUGGUUAAUACCUGGGCUCAUGACGGUACCGUAAGAAUAAGCACCGGCUAACUACGUGCCAGCCGCCGCCGAA